GUCGGGGUGAAGCCUUUUUGUCACUACUUCUACUGGCACGGAUGGAACAUAUGGUAUGGUACCCACCCGGACGGCACACCAUGUCGCUUGUUCCCUUGGAAUGUUGGAUAUUGCCUGCAUGGAACUUGCAUAGCAAAACCCGCUCCAUUACCAUGCGAUGGCAUUU